rnacentral:rRNA from 1 species
GACGAACGCUGGCGGCGUGCCUAAUACAUGCAAGUAGAACGCUGAAGAGAGGAGCUUGCUCUUCUUGGAUGAGUUGCGAACGGGUGAGUAACGCGUAGGUAACCUGCCUUGUAGCGGGGGAUAACUAUUGGAAACGAUAGCUAAUACCGCAUAACAAUGGAUGACACAUGUCAUUUAUUUGAAAGGGGCAAUUGCUCCACUACAAGAUGGACCUGCGUUGUAUUAGCUAGUAGGUGAGGUAACGGCUCACCUAGGCGACGAUACAUAGCCGACCUGAGAGGGUGAUCGGCCACACUGGGAAUGAGACACGGCCCAGACUCCUACGGGAGGCAGCAGUAGGGAAUCUUCGGCAAUGGGGGCAACCCUGACCGGGCAACGCCGCGUGAGUGAAGAAGGUUUUCGGAUCGUAAAGCUCUGUUGUAAGUCGAGAACGAGUGUGAGAGUGGAAAGUUCACACUGUGACGGUAGCUUACCAGAAAGGGACGGCUAACUACGUG